GAUGAACGCUAGCGGCAGGCCUAACACAUGCAAGUCGAGGGGUAGCAGGAUUAAGCUUGCUUAAUUGCUGACGACCGGCGCACGGGUGCGCAACGCGUAUGCAACCUACCUUAUACUGGGGUAUAGCCCGGAGAAAUUAGGAUUAAUCCCCCAUAGUACUAAUGAAUCGCAUGGUUUAUUAGUUAAACCAUUGCGGUAUAACAUGGGCAUGCGUCCUAUUAGCAGGUUGGUGAGGUAACGGCUCACCAUGGCUACGAUAGGUAGGGGGCCUGAGAGGGUGGUCCCCCACACUGGGACUGAGACACGGACCAGACGCCUACGGGAGGCAGCAGUGAGGAAUAUUGGUCAAUGGGCGCAAGCCUGAACCAGCCAUGCCGCGUGCAGGAAGAAUGCCCUAUGGGUUGUAAACUGCUUUUAUUUGGGAAUAAACCUCUUUACGUGUAGAGAGCUGAAGGUACCAAAUGAAUAAGCACCGGCUAACUCCGUGCCAGCCGCCGCCGUAA
rnacentral:rRNA from 1 species